rnacentral:rRNA from 1 species
GACGAACGCUGGCGGCGUGCUUAACACAUGCAAGUCGAACGGAAAGGCCCUGCUUUUGUGGGGUGCUCGAGUGGCGAACGGGUGAGUAACACGUGAGUAACCUGCCCUUGACUUUGGGAUAACUUCAGGAAACUGGGGCUAAUACCGGAUAGGAGCUCCUGCUGCAUGGUGGGGGUUGGAAAGUUUCGGCGGUUGGGGAUGGACUCGCGGCUUAUCAGCUUGUUGGUGGGGUAGUGGCUUACCAAGGCUUUGACGGGUAGCCGGCCUGAGAGGGUGACCGGCCACAUUGGGACUGAGAUACGGCCCAGACUCCUACGGGAGGCAGCAGUGGGGAAUAUUGCACAAUGGGCGGAAGCCUGAUGCAGCAACGCCGCGUGCGGGAUGACGGCCUUCGGGUUGUAAACCGCUUUCGCCUGUGACGAAGCGUGAGUGACGGUAAUGGGUAAAGAAGCACCGGCCAACUAAGUG